rnacentral:rRNA from 1 species
UGCUCAUGAUCAUUAAAUAGCCGCAAUUCGUGCUAAGGUAGCAUAAUCAUUUGUCUUUUAAAUGAAGACUAGAACAAAAGAUUUAAUAUUUAAAUCUACUUAUUUUAUUUUAAAAAUUAAAAUUUUUCUAAAUGUAAAAAAACAUUUAUUUCUAAGAAAGACGACAAGACCCUAUUGAACUUAACUUCAGUUAUACUGGGGCAGUAAAUUAAUUAUUAUUUUAAAUUAAAAAUAUAAACAAAAAUCCAAAACAAAUUGAAUAAUCCAGUUACCAUAGGGAUAACAGCGCAAUUAUAUUUUUAAGUCCCUAUAUAAAAAAUAGAUUACGACCUCGAUGUUGAAUUAAUAUUCUAAUUAAGGCAAGCCUUAAAAAAGAAAGUCUGUUCGACUUUUAAACAAUUACAUGAUUUGAGUUCAGACCGGUGUAAACCAGGUCGGUUUCUAUCUUCUAAAAAUACUUUUACAGUACGAAAGGACCUAAAAAUUUAAUAAUAUUAUUAAAUUGGCAGAUAAAUGCAUUAGAAUUAGAAUCUAAUAAAAAUCAU